rnacentral:rRNA from 1 species
UUAAAUUGAAGAGUUUGAUCAUGGCUCAGAUUGAACGCUGGCGGCAGGCCUAACACAUGCAAGUCGAGCGGAAACGAGUUAUCUGAACCUUCGGGGGACGAUAACGGCGUCGAGCGGCGGACGGGUGAGUAAUGCCUAGGAAAUUACCCGGAUGUGGGGGAUAACCAUCUGAAACGAGUACUGAUACCGCAUGAUAGCCACGGUCGAAAG